UGCAGUCGAGCGGUAACAGAUCCAGCUUGCUGGAUGCUGACGAGCGGCGGACGGGUGAGUAAUGCAUAGGAAUCUGCCCGAUAGUGGGGGAUAACCUGGGGAAACCCAGGCUAAUACCGCAUACGUCCUACGGGAGAAAGCAGGGGCUCUUCGGACCUUGCGCUAUCGGAUGAGCCUAUGUCGGAUUAGCUUGUUGGUGAGGUAAUGGCUCACCAAGGCGACGAUCCGUAGCUGGUCUGAGAGGAUGAUCAGCCACAUCGGGACUGAGACACGGCCCGAACUCCUACGGGAGGCAGCAGUGGGGAAUAUUGGACAAUGGGGGCAACCCUGAUCCAGCCAUGCCGCGUGUGUGAAGAAGGCCUUCGGGUUGUAAAGCACUUUCAGUGAGGAAGAAGGCCUUGGGCUUAAUACGUCCGAGGAAGGACAUCACUCACAGAAGAAGCACCGGCUAACUCCGUGCCAGCAGCCGCGGUAAUACGGAGGGUGCGAGCGUUAAUCGGAAUUACUGGGCGUAAAGCGCGCGUAGGUGGCGUGAUAAGCCGGUUGUGAAAGCCCCGGGCUCAACCUGGGAACGGCAUCCGGAACUGUCAUGCUAGAGUGCAGGAGAGGAAGGUAGAAUUCCCGGUGUAGCGGUGAAAUGCGUAGAGAUCGGGAGGAAUACCAGUGGCGAAGGCGGCCUUCUGGACUGACACUGACACUGAGGUGCGAAAGCGUGGGUAGCAAACAGGAUUAGAUACCCUGGUAGUCCACGCCGUAAACGAUGUCGACUAGCCGUUGGGAGCCUCGAGUUCUUAGUGGCGCAGUUAACGCGAUAAGUCGACCGCC
rnacentral:rRNA from 1 species